AGCUUUAUAUUCAAUAUUAAUAUGAUAUUAAAUUGCAAAUUUAAAGUAGAAAAUCUAAAGCUU
rnacentral:tRNA from 1 species